GCCUUUAUAGCUCAGUGGUAGAGCGCGUCACUCGUAAGAAGUAAAUUCUCCAGUUAUGCGAUAUGACGAGGUCCACGGUUCAAUCCCGUGUGGAGGCA